rnacentral:rRNA from 1 species
AUACGGAGGAUCCGAGCGUUAUCCGGAUUUAUUGGGUUUAAAGGGUGCGCAGGCGGGAGAUUAAGUCGGCGGUGAAAUUUUGCAGCUCAACUGUAAAAGUGCCUUCGAAACUGGGUUCCUUGAGUGUAGAUGAAGUAGGCGGAAUUUGGGGUGUAGCGGUGAAAAGCAUAGAUAUAACGAGGAACUCCGAUUGCGCAGGCAGCUUACUAAACUACUACUGACGCUCAGGCACGAAGGCGUGGGGAUCAAACAGGAUUAGAUACCCUGGUAGUCCACGCAGUAAACGAUGAUUACUAGCUGUUUGCGAUACAAUGUAAGCGGCUGAGCGAAAGCGUUAAGUAAUCCACCUGGGGAGUACGUUCGCAAGAAUGAAACUCAAAUGAAUUGACGGGG